rnacentral:rRNA from 1 species
CUACGGGAGGCAGCAGUGGGGAAUUUUGGGCAAUGGGGGAAACCCUGACGCAGCGACGCCGCGUGGAGGAUGACGGGCUUCGGGUUGUAAACUCCUGUCAGGUGGGA